rnacentral:tRNA from 1 species
GGGGCUAUAGCUCAGCUGGGAGAGCGCUUGAUUGCAUUCAAGAGGUCCGCGGUUCGAUCCCGCGUAGCUCCACCA